rnacentral:rRNA from 1 species
UUGGACUUACGGGAGGCAGCAGUGAGGAAUAUUGGUCAAUGGGCGGAAGCCUGAACCAGCCAAGUCGCGUGAGGGAAUAAGGCCCUACGGGUCGUAAACCUCUUUUGCCGGGGAGCAAGGGCGGGGACGUGUCCCGGCCCGGAGAGUACCCGGAGAAAAAGCAUCGGCUAACUCCGUGCCAGCAGCCGCGGUAAUACGGAGGAUGCGAGCGUUAUCCGGAUUUAUUGGGUUUAAAGGGUGCGCAGGCGGUCUGUUAAGUCAGCGGUCAAAGCCCGGGGCUCAACCCCGGCCCGCCGUUGAAACUG